rnacentral:lncRNA from 1 species
ACCGAUAAUACCUGAUCUUGCUCAAGUCCCUUCUAGAUAUGAAUCACCCUCAUCGUGAUCUCCUGUCACUCCGUCUACCGCCUCCUGCUCCUCUAAAAACCACCAAAGCUGAGCUGCCGUCACUUGAGCUCGAAGCUGGGUUCUCUCUUCUGAGAACUUCGUUCUGAAGAAUUAUCGCGGUGACCUCAUCCAUCUUAAUGGUGCUCUUUUCCACUAGAAGAGCAGUCACC